rnacentral:rRNA from 1 species
GACGAACCGUGCGAACGUUGUUCGGAUUCACUGGGCUUAAAGGGCGCGUAGGCGGGCGGUCAAGUCAGGGGUGAAAUCUUUCGGCCUAACCGGAAAAGAGCCUCUGAUACUGGCCGUCUCGAGGGAGGUAGGGGCAUGCGGAACUUCCGGUGGAGCGGUGAAAUGCGUAGAUAUCGGAAGGAACGCCGGUGGCGAAAGCGGCGUGCUGGACCUCUUCUGACGCUGAGGCGCGAAAGCCAGGGGAGCGAACGGG